CGCCCCUUUUGUCCCACCGGGCCCGGAGCCACGGACGGUCCAAGCGGCUCCCGAGCCCCCCUCCCCUGGGUCUCCCCCGAGCCCCCUCCCCGCCCAGCCCGGGGCAGGCUCCGGAGGGGUCCCGCUGCCUGGGGGUGGGGGAGUCCCGCUGCCUGGCUCCCUCCCCCCAAACCUCCCCCCGGGCUGCUCCGCGGGGGUUUGGUGGGGAGGGGGCGCCGGGGGUCCCCGCCAUGGCGGGGAUGAUGCUCCCGGGAGCAUCGCUGCUUUCUCGGGGGGGGCCCCCCAGUUUGGGGUGUAGAGGAGGAGGGUGAGCAGGGGAUUCGAUGCUGUUUUGGCGCUGCUGGAGCCCCUCCUGGUGUCACCAGCUCUGCGCGGGACGGGCCGGUGCCGCAGGUGAGGAAGAUGCUGCCCCGAGCCCCGGCCCGGCGCUCUCCCAUCAGCGGUGAAUCCCGCAGCGCCUCCCGGCACCCGGCCGCCCUGGGGACAUCCCUGGAACUGCAGCGUCCUGCAUCCCACCGCUCCUCCCCGGGAACCGGCCCAGGUGAGGAGGAGGAGGGAGGUCUGAGCCUCUCUGUCCCAACCCAGCACCCCUGAAGCACCUGGAGCAAGGUGAAGCUCCCGAGCACCUGACAAGGAAAAUCAAGGUUUGCCAGACCCAGGUCCUGGAGGGAAGAGGUGGUGAUGGUUUCCCUGGUGUCUGGAGCCGUGUGCCCUCACCUGGAGCAGCGGGAGCCUCGUGCCACCCCAAGGCAGAGAAGGGAUGUCAUCAUCUCCACCAGAACCUCACCAGGGUGGGCUUCCAACCCCUUAUCCCAAGCAGCACCUGCUCACCCCAGGCAUCCUCUUAUCCUUAAAGGCGCCAGCUCAGGCCGAAAUUG